UUGACAAACACUUUCGAUUGAAAAAACCAGCAAACAGGGAACAUAAUGGCUAAAAUUUAUUCUUCGGGUUUCUUAAUAUAUUCAAUCGUUAUCAUGGUUUGUGUAUAUUUUCCCAACGCAAAGACGCAGUCUAUAUACCAUUCCCACGAAUAUUACUACAAUUUUGAAGAAAGGAUUUCGAAACUGGAAGAUGAACUGAUCAGAUUGCGGCGUGAGAUUGAAAAACCAUCAGUGGGAGACCGCUGUUCCUCUAACGUCAAUUGUCCAGAUAACGCUGUUUGUGACAGAGGGACGUGUGUGUGUAGUGGAACGUAUCUAGCCAGCGGAAAAGUUUGUCACAAUGGUUUGUAGUAUUCACAUAAUAACCCGUGAAGUGGCGGAUCUGUUGGAGGUGUUAGGGGGUUGCAACUUUGCAAAACCACUUUGACUUUUUGUAAAGAUAAAGACCCUUUUGCCCUUUUGGGGUUUUCGACCCACCCACGCCACAUUCUUGAUAAAUCCCCCCCCCCGUUUGAAUUUCUGUGGAUCCGCCAAUAACCCGUGCAUCCAACAUGUAAAGCUCUGUCAUAAUUUCCUCUUAUCUUUCACAAUGUAUUCCUACGCCAAGUGACGCCUUGAAAUAAAAAAUAUGCUAGAGUUCCUCAUUGACAAUAUCUUCGGGGUCUUUGGUGAUCAGGUCUUCUAACAGUCUGUUGGAAUUCCCAUGGGCACGAAUUGUGCUCCUUUGUUAGCUGACCUCUUUCUAUAUUCAUAUGAAGCAGAAUUUAUUCAAAAACGUCUACCUGAGAAGAAAAAAAAUCUCUCAUUGGGGCCUUCAAUUCGACAUUUCGAUAUAUCGAUGACCUUUUGUCUAUUAACAAUAAUAACUUUCAUUCAUAUGUCUCAACUGAUUUGAUACCCAAGAGCUUGUUCUGCGUAUAGUCAAGUUUUAAAUCGAGGCAACCUACUGAGAAACAAGUUGAUGGUACAGGGAUUUCAACAGUCUCGAUUGAAGUCAGCAUUUCGGAAAUUAUAUGGUCGUUAUAACGAUCUAGUUCGUCAAUACAACCUAUCAUUUGGGUCAAAUGCUGUCUGACAUGUUUCAUACCGAUUGUUAGGCCGUUCUUGGCACACUGAUUUUGACUACGAAUAUAGGGAUCACGAUGGGUGUGACCGGUCGACAGGGGAUGUUUACUCCUCCUAGGCACCUGAUCCCACCUCUGGUGUGUCCAAGCGUCCGUGUUUGCCCAACUAUCUAUUUUUAUUGCUUUUAGGAGUUAUGAGAUUGAUCACUGUUCGUUAUCUUCACCUUUCUUUUAGCAACAGACCGAGGAAACGUCGAUCGAGAAAACCGCCAUCUUGGUUCUAUGCAUAGCCGAAUCGUGUACUUUAUUAAUCAAAUUUGAAAACGUGCGGUGGUGUUUUCAACGAAUCCUGAUAAUAGAAGAUGUGUGUAUAUAUGUUUAAGAUGCUUCAACACAAAGUACCGAUAUAUUGUUUAUAAUUCUAAUCCCGACAUCACACAAAAUACGUCAUGUAUCAGAAAAUGCUACACGAAAUGCGGUUUCUCGAUUUGAUAUAAGUUUUAAACUAAAUUAUAGAGUAUCACUACAUAUGCAGCAUUGUCGCCUAUUAAACCCGACACAGUAAAAUGUAAACAAUUCACAGAAUGUUAUCCACAUGUCAUCAAUUUGGUGUGACGUCAUCUAUUAUAUGUACAUUUUGUAAUACACGACGCAUCAUAUGCUUUGAUAGGCGAAUCAAAUAAUCCCCCAAGUGAAAAUAUAAUUCGUAAUGAAACAGAAAAAUUGCAAGUAUUUAUUAUACCAUUAUUUUGCAAAUGAUACCGUUGUAUCAGAAUUAGUAUACGACGAGUUUUUAUCAUUCAUGUUUUGUGUAGUUAUAAGGAAAAAAAAUUGUACCCUUUGUUUAACAUCGAUAAAAAUGUGAAGCAAAGGAAUUUUGUUCUGCGCGGUUUGUUCUAGUAGUAGUUUUAUUCAGGCAGAACACUCAUUUUAGUAUAAAACAUCAUUAAAAUAUAAAUGCAUUGUAAAUAAAUGCACAUGUCAAUUGUAUAAAACUUAGCAUGCCAGAUGUUUUCACAGUCAUUUUAUCACAGUAUUGUCAUCACAAACAAGAUUUUAUUACAGUUGCAUUAUAUCACAGUCUACCUAGGAUAACCCAUUAAAGCAAAUAUAUUAUUGUUUAUAUCCAAUGAGGUCCUUGGGAUUUGAAAAUAUAUAUAUUUCCAUAAAUAAAUAAAUGCAUUACAGGAAAGCAAUGUGUAAAUAUUUUGUUAAUAGGGUCUGUAAGUUUCGUCAUGUGAUUGCCGAUAUUUAGCGAGCUUAUUAACUUCCGCGUACAUCAACUUUUCAGAUUGCACUGUGUAGAGAGUGGUAUACAUAGAUAUAGCGUUAUCAAUCGAUUAUGUGAAGGUUUUAACGAGAUAAACAUGGAAUUGAAGCAUUAGUGGAGUCGUCGAGGAUUUUUCGCUUCGUGUUUGACGAAUUACGUGUAGUAACCGCCAGUGUACAAGCGUCGAUGAGGGUUCGUCUUGCAGAUAAAGUGCAGGUUGGUAUAAGCGUAAUCUAUGAACUAGAGAGAUGUACGGUACGUUUUUAUAUUCUCAAAUCAUUUCAAUUGAAAAUAUAUUUUCACUUGAAAAUAAAAAUGGAUUAUGCAUAAAUCAUGCUUUGUGUUUAUACGAACAUAUUGGGGAAGGGGGAGGGAAACGAUACUACAUGUACGUACCUGCAGUAUACAGUUGUAUAUUUAAUAAACAAAGUGCAUUAAAUAGGCCUAUCUCUAUCAGUUACAUCACAGAAGGGUUAAAAUUGUUUACUAUUUAAUUAUUUUAUAUAUAUGCCUUGAAUCUGAAGAUAAAGGUGUUGUGCAGUCAUCAUCAAUGUGGAUAUCUGAUGCCAGUAUACCCAUAAUGGAGCAGUAUAAGUGUCGAUUGUCAUAUGACAGCAAGUUUUCAAAGGCUGGUACACAAUUCAAAGAUAAAAAUAAUGUCAAUACAUGUUUGAAUUUAUAUCUAUUAUGAUUAUAUUAUACCCAAAGUAGGUAAUAAAUGGGUUCGAACUGUGAAGAUAAAAAUCUUACAUGUAGAUUAUAUUGGAAAUUUUCAGACAUAAGAAGGCAAAUAAAACUGAUGUCAAAUACGUUAGUAGGUGGAUAAAACAUCCAAAGUCGGCAUUGUCAAAGGUCACAAUAAUAAUGGAGGAAUUGACUGUAUCCUCAUUCCUCAGGGUAACAAGCCAUUGUCAGCAACCCCUGAAAUUCUUAAUUGAGGCUAAGUACCCAUUUUCAGCUUGAACAAUGACAGUUAGAGGGCCUGCGCAAAUGUUGGGAUUUUCCUCUUGAAUGCGAUGCAAGGGGUGGUUCGCUGCACCUCAAAACAAAAUAUGAAUAUUGGCAUCAAAUUCAAGGACAACAACACCUGAAGGACACCCAAUGCUGUGAUUUGCUAGUGUGGAUUCCCAGUGACACUCAAAUAGUUCACAUUGACAUUGAUGUAUUAUGGUCAACAAACAUAUUAAGUGUGAUAGAGUUUAAUAAUAAAGUAUUUUUUGCGGUCUGAAAUACACACAUAACCACAUGUACAUAUACUUUAUUAUGAUAUCAGUGGUGCAUCUAUCAAAGUUAUGUAAUUAUAUGUAUACUAUUGAAAAAAACAUUAUAGACAAAGUUUUUUUUAUUCUAGAUGAACCAAAAUAUGUAUAGACACAGAAUUCAGCUUUACAGAAAUCAUUAAAUUACAUGCAUUUACUAAAAACAA